AUAGCAGGUGUUCCUGGGGGAGCAGUGACUGAAAUAAGGUAAAACACAAAGAACCCUGUGUGAGAUACUAUUUAAAGACUCCAGAAUGUUGGAAGAGAGCGACACUACAACUGAAGGAUUCACGGUUAUUAUGGUCUGAGAAGGAAGGCAAAAGCUCUGAAAACGGGACAAAUGUUCUCAAGAACAGAAUCCGAGCAGAAAGAGGAAUGACCUACCAGAGCGUCCACAGUCUGCGC